UUACUCAUCUCCAUUGUUUCUUCAAUCUCCUCCUUACACGGUGUGCGAUCCAUUAGGUUCCUUUUAGCGAGGCAGUGGGCGAUUAAAACCAUUUUACAUCGAUUGUGAAUUGAAACUUACUUUCAAUUCUCCCUUUAGUGAUUACACACGUUUAGGGCUUCCACAAACCAUGAGUGACACCUUGCAGCAUAUCAUGGUUACCCAAGCUAAUCAGAAGAAGUAGAGAACCUAUUCAGUUUGGGAUUACAAAUGCAAUACGGUCUUUCUCUAAUCUAAUACUCUUGACCACAUUGUUUGGUUUGAUAGUUUAUAUGUUCAUAUCUACUAUCCAAUGUGAUUCGUGUGCUUAUAUGAUUUCUUUGAAUGUGAUUUAGAACGACUUUUCUAAAUCUCAUUCAUAGUCUGGCCAGAGAUUCUAAAUCAUAUCAUAGAGUAUUCUCCCUCAAACCAUUUGAAUGUUAGAGAUCCCUUGUUGCACAUUCACUUGUCUCCAUGACUAAGUGGCUUAAUCCCAAUGAUGCCGUGGACACCCCGAUGGGGUGACUUUGACAUAAUCAAAGAUCAAGGACUUAACCACAAGACAACUGUGAUGCCUCAGGUCAAAAGACUAAUUUGCAUUAUCCCAACCAUGAGUUCUCAUAUGACAUGAAUAUGAGAACUCUUCGUCGAUCACGUUCAGUGAACUCAUUCUCUAUUGAGCACCUACGUACUUGUCUUGAUGUCACACACACCAAUGACUCGAGACUAGUCACUCUCCUUGAGAGAAGCCAUAGCACGUACCGAUCUUGAUGGACUGUCAAUGCCCAAUUGGCAAUCCUAUGAUCAGGAACAUUUAGGAUGUGUCUACGAAAGAAUGGUCUCAUGAAUCUAACUUCAUUAGAUUACAUUCUCCCAAUCACAUAUUCCUUGGACUUUAUCGUUUAAGCAUAUAACAUUUAUAUGAGACGGCUCAAACAAUAAUCUUUGCCCUUUAUAUUAAACUAGAUUAGUUUAACAUGUGAAAUGUCCGUAAAGUAUCAUCAUAUGAUUGGCUUUAGGGCACAUUUCCAACAAAAUAAAACCCACGAAAAUCAUCAUGCAAAACAGCCUGUUUACCCCCCCACACUUAAACCAAACAUUGUCCUCAAUGUUUCAAACAUAGACUUACACUCAAACAAGCAAACAACACAACUAAUAAACAUGACAAGCAUGGCAAAGUAAAAACAAGAAAGAGUAGAGUUUAGGAACGCAAAUCUGGUUAUGGAGGUAGAUGAUCUUUGGCUUCGGUAGUGAAUAAAUCGGCACGUCUUUUGUCAUGCUUGUUGACUUUCCACAGCUCUGAUCUUGAACUGGAUUGGAAGGAAGAGGAGAAUUCCUUGGUGGUGGUGAUUUGAUGGCAUUGUACGAUGAGGCUUUGCUCUUUGGCGACUAAUGCAUCAAUAUGUUGUCGAAGCUUCUCAAGUUCUUGGAUUCAACUCAGACUCCUUCUGCUGGGUUGAUUGAUUGUGCAGGCUGCAUUCUUCUCUGCUUGAAACCUUUUGCAAAGUAUUCGGACUUGUGUUUAUUCAAAAUAAACUAUAGUCCAACCGAGAGUGAUCUUCGGUGAAUGUCAUUCAACAUGAGUAGUAUUAUGUUUGUGGACAAGUGCCACUAACAUCUAAGUGAAUUAACCUCAACAACUUUGUGAUUCUUUCUUCUUUCCAAAAGAAUAAAGAUUCGAACAUUUCGCCUCUAUACAAUUUUAACAAGAAGGUAUUGGAUCCGGAUCUAACAAUCCAAAGCAUCCAUUUAUUACCAACUCGUAAUUUAUGUUUUUAGAGGAAUCACAACUUAAGUUGGGAUUAGUCACUACCUUGCAACCUUUUGGGUUUUAAGCAUCAUUUUAUUCUAAACAGUUAACACUACCAUAUCAUCUCUACUAUAGAGACAAUCAAUUAGAUUACUAUAAUCCAAUCAUUGAUUAAUAAAGAACAAUGUUUUGUCAAACAAAACAUUCAUCCAUCUCUACUAUAGUGACGGAAUUAAGUUCCUUAAAAUUGGAAUGUAAAGAUAAUCUUUGGUUUUUCCAAUUUCUUUGGUAGUUCAUAUGAGGAAGUAAGUACCAUCUGCUUUCGCAGAAAUCUAUAUUUUAUUCACUUUCCGAAUGUGAAGUACUUUUUCUUCUCUCAUUAAUCUUCUACUUCUUGUUUGCCACACUUUUACAACGAUUGUAAAACAUAGUUACUAAUACGGAAUCAAACAUUCAAGUAGAAGAACCAACUGUUUUGAACUAUUCAAGAACAAUUUACAACACAUUCGAAAGGUGUGUUCUUGACACUUGCAAGACAUUUCUUGCAAAUACCCCUUCCAAUGUCCAUCCUUUCAUAAAGAAAGUUUGUUCCCUUGGAGUUAAUUUUAUCUUCUUCAUUUGACUUCUCCUUUGACUACAAUAGUCAUGGUCCCUAAACUCCCACUAUCUCUCUUGAAACUUAUUUCAAUUGUGUUAUACACAUCAAACAUUUUGGAGAGCAUGUGGUUAUUGUUCACUAUAUAGUUUACAAUAAACUUGGUGAACCAUAAGGAUAGGGACACAAAGGUGAAGUCCUUGCCUAGUUUCUGUCUCAUUAAGUGGUUUAUCACUUCAACACUCAAUGAUUCAAAAUCAUCAUAAGUCCAUGUUAAUGGACUAUUUUUGUCAACCAACCAUUAUGUUCUAAACAUAAUUACAAACUUUCAAGAGUUGUACAAGGCAACUCUCAUUUCUUCAUACAACAAUUUGUAAGUGAAGAAUCAUGGCACAUUAAGUGUCCAUGCCUUUGUGCUUUCUUCUCAAGUUCUUUGUUCAUUUAACAAAGAAACAAGCACUAGUGUUUGCAUUGGCUAAGGGUUGUUCAAAGCAACUAUUAUUUCUUCAUACAACGAUUUGUAAGUGAAGAACUAAUAACACUAAAAGUGUCUUUGUCAUUAUGCUAAUCUUCGUAAGUUCCUUUGUUCAUUUAACAAAGGAUUAAGCAUUGGUUGUUUGUGUUGUCCUCUUUAUGAUAGACUUUUUCUAACAUAUUCUUCUAGUGAUACAUUAUCAAUAGGAAGAUUGUGAGGAUUAGACUACUUAGGUACAUAUACAAUCCAUUUAAGACAAUCUUUGGGAUUGUGUUACCAAGUCCGGAAACUAAAGCAUUCGGCUUUUCUUUGUCAAGUUUUGGAUAGCGUUUGCAAAUAUAUUGGUAAACAAAUACAUAACGAAUAUAAAUUGAUUGAUUUUAAGCCAUUUGAUUCGGGUCUUUAAAUCAAAUAGCACCACCCACUAUUUUUGGCAAAUUCCAUAUCCCUCAUUGGAAUUCGAGAGUUUUGGAUGAAACUCCUAGUAGGGUAUGGGAGGCUCACUAUUACCAAGCCCACCUCAGAAGAAAAUCAUAUUGGCUAGCGUUAAUAAUAAUGAGAGAGUACGCUUACUCAUUUGCAACAACCUCUUGCAAGUACCCAUCUAGUUUGGCCUCUAGAGAAUGAUGCCUCAGAAGAAUAUCAUAUUGGCACCAUUGCACUUAGUUAAGUCAUUCCCACCAUGCUAGUUCAAGUAGGGGUUCAAGAAUGGCCUCAGAAGAAUAUCAUAUUGACCACACUCGUUGCCUACCUUUCACUUCAUCAUAUGUUUAUAGGUUUCUCCUGAAUGUAAGCACAUACUUUGCAACCCCAGAACUGGACGAAUACGGUGUAUGAGUCACAAAUGAUUGAAGCCUACCACGGUGGAAGGCCACGAAAGAGUGUUCAAAGCACUCUCACGCUUAUCAACUUAAUAAUGGUUUGGUUGAGGGUUUUAGGUCUCAUCACAUAUAAACAUACAUUUUAAUCUCUAUUAAAACAAUUUUGGUGCUAUUACAACUAUUGGUCCAUUUGAUUGUUUUAGUUGUAUAUAAUACUCCCACUAUGCUUAUAAAACGGUUUUUAAAGCAAGAGUAUAUGAUACUACUAACAUAACCUUUGCAUUCAUUUAAUGGACUAUAUAGUUGCCUUAGGGCCUUAGGAUGACUAUGAACCUUUGUUUAGAUUCAACACGAGCCUAGUGUUGAAUCUCGGUCUAGGAAUGGUGAUUGAUUUUAGUUACGCGUUUAAUCACAUUAAGGCGUGUUGUCUUAGGGGCGUUGGACCCAACUAUUUCAUUUUCAUGCAUAUCAAAUAAAGCAAGAAAGAAGUACUUCAAAGUAAAGGUGAGCUUAUGCUCAUUACAACAUUUGCAUAUAACAAAUUACUUUAAAGUAAAGAAGAGCUUAAGCCCUUUUACAACAUUUGAUCAAAUCAAAUUACAACCAAAAUCUAAUCUACACAUUCCCAUGGUUCAAACAAAUUUGAAACGGCCUAUCACAUAGCUCAAUUAUAUUAGGCUUAGGUUCAUAAUCACCCUUUAAUUAAUUAACACUUUAACUAAUUAAAUUGAAUGCAACAUUUUCAUUUGGUUUUUGUAUCCAUAAAAUUGAUUUAAAUGGAGCUAAACAAAAUGAAAAUCCAAUUCUCAUUUAAAGAGACAAAACAAUUUUGUUCUCUACUUAAUUUGGGCCAAUAUGCAAUAACCACAACUUUUGGGCCAUAAAGCAAUUAACCUCAACUUUUGGGCUAUAUUGCAAAACUUUUGGGGUCACUUUGUAAAGACACAAAAGUCCACUACUUCAUGUAAUUACAAUAGAACCCAAAAUUUAAUCAAUGCAAAAACUUCAUUAAAGGAGCAAAACAAUUUGUCCUUUAGCGUUUUUUGGACCUAAACGUAAAAACGUAAACUUUUGGGCCAAAGUGCAAAUACACAAAAGUAUCAAAACUUUAUGUAAUUGCAUAAAAGGCCCCAAAAGUACCCCCACUAGGGGGUGGCCGGUUUUGGAAGAGGAUAUGAGUGAUGUGUGUGUUGAUUUGUGAGUUUUGACAUAAAGCAUGCAAGUGCACAAGUGGUGUGUGUGAAAGGGAAUUAAUCCUUUCACACCCACCAUUAUUUCUAUUGCCAUUUAAACAAAUAUCUAAAACAUUUAAACAUUUGAAAAUGCAUAAAACAUAAACUUUAUGAAAUAAAUCAAAACUUUGAAUCAAAACACAAACCUUUUUGUUCUUGGCAAAAAUGUCAAGAACAAUGAAGAACACUCAUGAAAAACUCAAAAUUUUCCAUGAACAUUUUUCACCCAAAAACAUUCCAAAACCAUUCAAACUUUAGGGAAAUAACAUCUAACCAAACUAGGGUACAUAGGGGUUCCAAAAGUCACUUGAAAACACUUUUAACAAGUCAAACAAGAACCCAAAAAUCCACCCUUUGGAUUUGGCCGAAAAUCCCCAAAGUCAUGGCACCAAAUUUUAGCUCCAAUAUUCAUGCUCAUAUGAACUACAUCUACAACAUUUGAGAUGGCAAAUUUUCUAACAAAAUUUACAUUCAAAGAAACAAGAAUAAAGCUUGUAACAUAUUACAACUUUUAAAUCACAAACUAUGAACUACAAAACCCAAAAGGAUUCACCAACUACUAGACCUAGGCUCUGAUACCACUUGAAGGAAAAUUUUGGGAAAACAUGUUCAUUUAAGCAACAUCAAUAAGCAUGCAAUUAACAAUUAAAGGCGGAAUCAUGCUAGCAUGCACUUAAAAACAAAACAUUAACCAAGAAAUUCAAAACCUAGUAGAUUGGUGAACCAUUAAUCAACUCAAAACAAAGUGAGUUGAAAUUGUACCUUUGUAGAUUCCUCUUUGCAUAAGCAAAGGCUAAUCACCCAAAGAGAGGGCCUUCAUUCCUUGCAUAUUAAAUCUAUGGAUUUGGAUGGAAGAAUAGGAUUCUCCAAGUUCCCAAAAUAGGGAACCUCUAAGUCUCUUCACCAAGGAGAGAUUGGAGAAGAAAUGAGUGACCUUGGAGUAGUGGGAUUGCAAGAUGCACCCCCAAGGUGGCCGGCCUCUUUAGAGAGAAAUGGAGAGACAUGUUCCCUCCAAUUUUCUCCAAAACAAACCCUAAUGAAUUUUAGGCUAUAAAGUCAUAUUUAUACCUUUAUUCAUUUGAGUGGCAAACUUGUAAAUAAGUCCAAGUUCACUACCCUUAGCAUCAUGGCCGGCCCUAGGAUAUUUUGGGCUAAUUAGGCCUUUGUGAAUCAUUAUUCAUUAAGUUGUCAUACAACUUAAGUCCAUGGACUUAACGUUCGAAGCCCAUUGGGCCUUAAGGUCCAAAACUAUCCCCGAGGUCUUUAACGAACUUAUUCGUUUGAUUAAUUAACAUAUUAAUUAAUCCUUGCCAUAAAUAAAUGAUUAAACCAUUUAAUCAUUCUUACUCAUCUCCAUUGUUUCUUCAAUCUCCUCCUUACACGGUGUGCGAUCCAUUAGGUUCUUUUUAGCGAGGCAGUGGGCGAUUAAAACCAUUUUACAUCGAUUGUGAAUUGAAACUUACUUUCAAUUCUCCCUUUAGUGAUUACACACGUUUAGGGCUUCCACAAACCAUGAGUGACACCUUGCAGCAUAUCAUGGUUACCCAAGCUAAUCAGAAGAAGUAGAGAACCUAUUCAGUUUGGGAUUACAAAUGCAAUACGGUCUUUCUCUAAUCUAAUACUCUUGACCACAUUGUUUGGUUUGAUAGUUUAUAUGUUCAUGUCUACUAUCCAAUGUGAUUCGUGUGCUUAUAUGAUUUCUUUGAAUGUGAUUUAGAACGACUUUUCUAAAUCUCAUUCAUACUCUGGCCAGAGAUUCUAAAUCAUAUCAUAGAGUAUUCUCCCUCAAACCAUUUGAAGGUUAGAGAUCCCUUGUUGCACAUUCACUUGUCUCCAUGACUAAGUGGCUUAAUCCCAAUGAUGCCGUGGACACCCCGAUGGGGUGACUUUGACAUAAUCAAAGAUCAAGGACUUAACCACAAGACAACUAUGAUGCCUCAGGUCAAAAGACUAAUUUGCAUUAUCCCAACCAUGAGUUCUCAUAUGACAUGAAUAUGAGAACUCUUCGUCGAUCACGUUCAGUGAACUCAUUCUCUAUUGAGCACCUACGUACUUGUCUUGAUGU
rnacentral:lncRNA from 1 species